CUUUUACAAUGAAGAGUUUGAUCCUGGCUCAGGAUGAACGCUAGCUACAGGCUUAACACAUGCAAGUCGAGGGGCAGCGGGGUUGAAGCUUGCUUCAACCGCCGGCGACCGGCGCACGGGUGAGUAACACGUAUCCAACCUGCCGAUAACUCUGGGAUAGCCUUUCGAAAGAAAGAUUAAUACCGGAUGGCAUAGUUUUCCCGCAUGGAAAAACUAUUAAAGAAUUUCGGUUAUCGAUGGGGAUGCGUUCCAUUAGGCAGUUGGCGGGGUAACGGCCCACCAAACCGACGAUGGAUAGGGGUUCUGAGAGGAAGGUCCCCCACAUUGGAACUGAGACACGGUCCAAACUCCUACGGGAGGCAGCAGUGAGGAAUAUUGGUCAAUGGACGAGAGUCUGAACCAGCCAAGUAGCGUGAAGGAUGACUGCCCUAUGGGUUGUAAACUUCUUUUAUAUGGGAAUAAAGUUAGCCACGUGUGGUUUUUUGCAUGUACCGUAUGAAUAAGGAUCGGCUAACUCCGUGCCAGCAGCCGCGGUAAUACGGAGGAUCCGAGCGUUAUCCGGAUUUAUUGGGUUUAAAGGGAGCGUAGGCGGGGUAUUAAGUCAGUUGUGAAAGUUUGCGGCUCAACCGUAAAAUUGCAGUUGAUACUGGUAUCCUUGAGUGCAGCAGAGGUGGGCGGAAUUCGUGGUGUAGCGGUGAAAUGCUUAGAUAUCACGAAGAACUCCGAUUGCGAAGGCAGCUCACUGGAGUGUAACUGACGCUGAUGCUCGAAAGUGUGGGUAUCAAACAGGAUUAGAUACCCUGGUAGUCCACACAGUAAACGAUGAAUACUCGCUGUUGGCGAUACAAUGUCAGCGGCCAAGCGAAAGCAUUAAGUAUUCCACCUGGGGAGUACGCCGGCAACGGUGAAACUCAAAGGAAUUGACGGGGGCCCGCACAAGCGGAGGAACAUGUGGUUUAAUUCGAUGAUACGCGAGGAACCUUACCCGGGCUUGAAUUGCAACUGACGGAGCUGGAAACAGUUCUUUCUUCGGACAGUUGUGAAGGUGCUGCAUGGUUGUCGUCAGCUCGUGCCGUGAGGUGUCGGCUUAAGUGCCAUAACGAGCGCAACCCUUAUCGAUAGUUACCAUCAGGUUAUGCUGGGGACUCUAUCGAGACUGCCGUCGUAAGAUGUGAGGAAGGUGGGGAUGACGUCAAAUCAGCACGGCCCUUACGUCCGGGGCUACACACGUGUUACAAUGGGGGGUACAGAAGGCAGCUACACGGCGACGUGAUGCUAAUCCCAAAAACCUCUCUCAGUUCGGAUUGGAGUCUGCAACCCGACUCCAUGAAGCUGGAUUCGCUAGUAAUCGCGCAUCAGCCACGGCGCGGUGAAUACGUUCCCGGGCCUUGUACACACCGCCCGUCAAGCCAUGAAAGCCGGGGGUACCUGAAGUACGUAACCGCAAGGAGCGUCCUAGGGUAAAACUGGUGAUUGGGGCUAAGUCGUAACAAGGUAGCCGUACCGGAAGGUGCGGCUGGAACACCUCCUUUCUGGAGC
rnacentral:rRNA from 1 species